GCGGCUGUAGCUCAAUGGUAGAGCCUCAGUUUUCCAAACUGAUGACGAGGGUUCGAUCCCCUUCAGCCGCU
rnacentral:tRNA from 1 species